UCUGGGUGAAAAUGGGUCAACAGAGGAGGGGAAAAAUUGCAAGAAGAAGAAAGCAUAGGUGACGGAGAUGCGAUGGAGGCUUCAAGAAAAGAAACCCAGCGUUUUCGUCGUGAUUCAUUCUGGAGAUUGAGCUUAAAGCAGGUGUACCGAGUAGCAGAUAAAGUUGCAUUAGAGUCCCUGGUCCAUUCUUCUUGACAACUCUUAUUUGCCCACCCAUCUUGUUAACCUGUCAAUACAUGAGAUAAUAUUUUUCAGACCUACAAUAAGACCAUGGAGCUUUCCGAUCGAGGGGAAAAUUCUCAUCAUCAAUAAAAGAACGUGGAUCUUCACACCAUCCCCGCAGAAUAAUGUAUCCUGCUGUUUGCUGUAUUUUCUGAUCACAUACUCAGAGAGCUUAACUUGAGCUGUUGUUAUUUCAACAGUCGAAUUCAAGAUGCCCCACAUGCGUAAUACUGGACGCUGCAAGAGUUCAUACCGAAGGCCAUACGCUAAAGCAUUUAACGAUGUUCUCGUGUACACUUUAGUGAAAUGCCAGAGUCGAACCAUGAUGGCAAGCCGAGCUACAAAGACGCUAUAGUAUGAAGACAGACAAUUGGUGUAUGUGCACUGGAGUUCUUCUUGUUCAACAUCCCUGUGUUGACCUUUCCGCCUGCAAGUUUGUGGAAUUUGCAUGAGAAAGGGUGAUGGAGAUGAUGUGGUCAAAAGGAAUGAAUACUCAUAGAAGGAGACAAAGCAUGGAGGUGUAGAUCUUUGAUUCCCAAUCUACAACCACCCACUUUUCCUUUAGAUCUGAAUUGUUCUUUUGAAGCUCUAAAUGCCUAUGAUCUGCUCAUUUUGUUUUUCUGAAAGAUGGAAUAAACUUUAUUAAAUCCUUUAUUUUUUUAAUAAAUAAGAAACUUUUUCA